rnacentral:rRNA from 1 species
CAGUCGCCGCGGUAAUACGUAGGGUGCAAGCGUUAAUCGGAAUUACUGGGCGUAAAGCGUGCGCAGGCGGUUAUAUAAGACAGAUGUGAAAUCCCCGGGCUCAACCUGGGAACUGCAUUUGUGACUGUAUAGCUAGAGUACGGCAGAGGGGGAUGGAAUUCCGCGUGUAGCAGUGAAAUGCGUAGAUAUGCGGAGGAACACCGAUGGCGAAGGCAAUCCCCUGGGCCUGUACUGACGCUCAUGCACGAAAGCGUGGGGAGCAAACAGGAUUAGAUACCCGUGUAGUACCUGUCUCUUAUAC